GCGGGUAGAGCUCAGUGGUAGAGUGUGUGUUUAGAAUGCACAAGGUCCUGGGUUCAACCUCUAGUAUCACCA
rnacentral:tRNA from 1 species